UAUUUUUAGGUAUGCAAUUUAUAAAAUAAAUUUUUUUUCUGCAUGCAGAAAAAAAAAUUAUUUUCCAAGUUUCAUAGCUAAAAAAUAAUGCGUUUAUUUUCAUAGAAAAAUUAUAUAAACAAUUUUAGUUUGAAUUGGCGCCCUUUAAGUGCCGUAACGAGUGCUAAAAUUUUGGCUAAUAAUUUGUCAACCCACUGUAAAUAUUUAUAUGGGAAUUCUGAUUAUAAAACGUGUCUGCAUAAAAUAGGUCAUAUUUUAUGCGGACACGUUUUAUAAUCAGAAUACCCAUAUAAACAUAUACAGUGGAUUGCCAAAUUAUUAGGGACAGUUUACUUUUUUUGUUGUUAUAAAUUUACAGGAAUCUUGCAAGAAAAUAAAUUGGUUUUGAAUUAUUUUUCUUGUGUAUUUUAAUUAUUGAUAUAAAUAUUAUGAUUUUUAAAAUACUUUUAGUCAACCUUAUCAGCCAAAAAGUUAGAUUAAUUUUUAUUUAGCUAUUUAACUAUCAAUUGGUAAAAAGUGUUGGUGUGAGUCAAAAUUUGAGUGAGCUCAAAAUAUUGGCAAGUCUUCAGAUUUAAUCCCAAGAAAAUGGAGGGAAGUAAAAUCCUUACUUUUUUAUUCCACACAUUCUCAGAGAGAGAGUUAGCUCCAAUUUCAAGUGUUUUAAAGUCAUUUUCGAUACUUUCGAUACUUUUGGUAUUUUUGAAGUCAAUACUGACUCAAAGUAAAUGAAAAAUCAAUAAAAAUGUGCUUCUAGAAGAAAAAAAAGAGGCAGUAAAAGAAUCACCACUCCGCGUUGUGACCGUAAAAUCAUGGAUAUCUGUCUUGAAAACCGAUAAAAAAAGAGUGUGGCUCGCCUAACUACAAUCAAAAACAAUAAAAUAAUUACCGUUUUUAAAAGGACAUUUUGAGGCGGUUGUUUGAAGAGAAUUCAAUGAGUAGUUGUCAAACUCAAAAAAACAACGUUUGACUAAAGCUAUAAAGACUGGAGUAGAAUUAAUAUUACUUAUAACAUUUUGAAAAAGUCUAAAAAAAAUUCAUUAUAAUUAUGGUAAUAUUUUAAGGUCUGUUUUUCUCAAGAGUGAACAUUUUAAAUUUUGGAGGACAAAAGCUUAUUUACCCAACAACAAUCAGGUAUAAAAUACCAUCAGAACUAGUAUUUGAAAAAAUAUUAAACAUCCUGUAAGUAUAAUUGCGUGGUUUGUGAUCUAAGCCAAAGGUACGGCUUACCUCUAAAUAGUGGAAAAAACCAUGAGGCAAGAUCAAGACAAGCGGUAUUAGGAAAAAGCCUUCUGCUAUAGGCCCAAGAAUGGUUUUUUCCUAAUGAAGAACAUAUUUUCAUAUAAUACUCGGCAUCAUGCCGCAAAGCUAGGAGUUUUACAAUAUUCCUAGCCAAAAUAACAUGCAUGUAGUGCCUUGGCAGGGACGUUCACUUGGUAUAAACCCCAUAUAAAAUCUGUGGGAGUUCACAAAACGAGAAGUUGCAAAAGAAACCAUCAUUACUAAGCGGAAAUUGGUAGAAACCCUUAUUUGAGAAAAACAUGACAACUCUAGCUUUCAGCACAAUACAAAAGUCUGCAUAGGAAACAACAAUAUACCAAUAUGUAGGCCCUGACGCCUAAAAGAGUUUAUGUGCCUUUUAUCACAGCUAUUAAGUACGACUAAAACAAUCUAAAGUUUGAUUUUGCAAAGUUUAUCUAUAAAUGUCAAUCCAAAAAGAAAUUGUUUAAAUUAAUGUUAAUCACAGAUAAUUUUUGAUAAUCUUUAGUCUACUGAAACUUCUUUGAUCAUAAGCAGAUGUAAAAGGAAGAGUCAAGUCGAUUUUGUAGAGUAAAGACAAAUUAGGAAAAUAUGAUGCCAUCUAUUUCUCUCUUAAAAAUGAAUGUACGUUCAGUCGUAAUUAAUGGAGAUAUUGAUGCAAACACAUCUCUGAAAGUAAGGCUGGCGCAAGUAAAUUUUAAGUUGGGAAGGUAUGCUAUGCGGGUUUUUUUCCGAAAACAUUUUUAACACAUAAAAAUAAAUCCAAAUCGCUAGGCAACGUUGAAAUCAGUUGAUUUAUAAAUUUUUGUUUUUCUCCUUUAAAAAAAAGUUUUUACCCAAUGCAAAGUCAUUGUAGUUUUAUGAACAUCUGUCACAGUAGUUUUGAUACCAAACUAUGUUAAAAAUGCAUUGACAUUGUGUGUACAUUAUCAUUAUCAGAGAUAUUUUAUUAAAACAAAACGUCUCCGUUUUAUUUUCUGCCGUAAAUGCAGGCAAAUUUUUAAAGCAGCUAUGUAAACGAUGAUUUGUUAUAACCUAAUUUUCUAUUUCUGUUUAAAAUAAACGCAGGAUUAUGUAUGAGAAACUUGUAUAUUAGGGGCGCCAGUGACUGGCCUAGGAAGCGCCCCACGCCCUAUGCAUAAUCCGCCACUAAUUAAUACCUAGUUUGUAACGUUAACACUUUUUAUAAAAGAAUAACUGUAAAUAAGUA
rnacentral:lncRNA from 1 species